UACGUAGGGACCAAGCGUUGUCCGGAAUCAUUGGGCGUAAAGAGCGUGUAGGCGGCUUGUUAAGUCUUGCGUGAAAUCUCGGGGCUCAACCCCGAGCGGUCGUGAGAAACUGGCAGGCUAGAGUGCGGGAGAGGAGAGUGGAAUUCCUGGUGUAGCGGUGAAAUGCGCAGAUAUCAGGAGGAACACCGGUGGCGAAGGCGGGUCUCUGGGCCGACAUUGACGCUGAGGAGCGAAAGCGUGGGGAGCGAACAGG
rnacentral:rRNA from 1 species